rnacentral:rRNA from 1 species
GACGAACGCUGGCGGCGUGCUUAACACAUGCAAGUCGAACGAGUGGCGAACGGGUGAGUAACACGUGGGUGAUCUGCCUUGCACUUCGGGAUAAGCUUGGGAAACUGGGUCUAAUACCGGAUAGUGCAAGAUGAGCUCGCGGCCUAUCAGCUUGUUGGUGGGGUAAUGGCUACCAAGGCGGGACGGGUAGCCGGCCUGGGAGGGUGUACGGUCACAGUGGGACUGAGAUACGGCCAAGAAUACUACGGGAGGCAGCAGUGGGGAAUAUUGAACGAUGGGCGGAAGCCUGAUGCAGAGACGGCGGGUGGGCGAGGAAUGGAUGCGGGUUGUAAACUACUUUCGACAGGGACGCGGUACCUGAAUAAGAAGCACCGGCUAACUACGUGCCAGCAGCCGCGGUAAUUC